rnacentral:lncRNA from 1 species
CUCAUUUUUACAUUUUCCCUUGAUUUACUUCCUGGUGCCUGCCAGAUCUUGGUUAUGUGCUUCAUCUUUGUUUCCCAGGGCUCUUGGUAUUUCUCCUGAGUUCUUCUUCUUCCUUUUCAACCUUGUGUACAUGUUCUGGUCAGUGAAACCAAAAUUCAUUUACUUUUCUUCUGGUUUCCCUGUUUCAGACAUCAGGAUCCUUGUCUUUUAUGUUUUUCCUCCCCUCAGAAGUCCAGAGGGACGAGGUAUAGUAUGAGUCCAAUACUGAGCAACAAAGCUGUUUGUUAAAGUAAUCUCCGCACCCUGGAAUUGUACUUUUCCAGGAGUGACUGUGGCUGGGUGCAGAAGGAACACUUGCUGUUUGCCUGUAUGUAUCUGUACCCCCAAGUGGGACAACUGAGGAACUCAGAAACAAUGGCACUGGGACGGUGCUGGGAUGUCUGAGCCUGAUUCCUUACGUCCAUUCCCUCACUCACUCAGAGGUCUCUCAUUAUUGUGGUUUUUGAAACUGCUUGGGAAAUCCGAACUGAGAGGAACAGAACCUACAGCGUUUCUCUUAAGCAAAGUUUGA